AUUGAACGCUGGCGGCAUGCCUUACACAUGCAAGUCGAACGGCAGCACGGGAGCAAUCCUGGUGGCGAGUGGCGAACGGGUGAGUAAUAUAUCGGAACGUGCCCAGUCGUGGGGGAUAACGUAGCGAAAGCUACGCUAAUACCGCAUACGAUCUAUGGAUGAAAGCGGGGGAUCGCAAGACCUCGCGCGAUUGGAGCGGCCGAUAUCAGAUUAGGUAGUUGGUGAGGUAAAGGACUCACCAAGCCGACGAUCUGUAGCUGGUCUGAGAGGACGACCAGCCACACUGGGACUGAGACACGGCCCAGACUCCUACGGGAGGCAGCAGUGGGGAAUUUUUGGGACAAUGGGCGCAAGCCUGAUCCAGCAAUGCCGCGUGCAGGAUGAAGGCCUUCGGUU
rnacentral:rRNA from 1 species